rnacentral:rRNA from 1 species
UUGACCUCGGAUCAGGUAGGGAUACCCGCUGAACUUAAGCAUAUCAAUAAGCGGAGGAAAAGAAACCAACAGGGAUUGCCCCAGUAACGGCGAGUGAAGCGGCAAGAGCUCAAAUUUGAAAGCUGGCUCCUUCGGGGUCCGCAUUGUAAUUUGUAGAGGAUGCUUCGGGAGCGGUCCCCAUCUAAGUGCCCUGGAACGGGACGUCAUAGAGGGUGAGAAUCCCGUAUGGGAUGGGGUGUCCGCGCCCGUGUGAAGCUCCUUCGACGAGUCGAGUUGUUUGGGAAUGCAGCUCUAAAUGGGUGGUAAAUUUCAUCUAAAGCUAAAUAUUGGCCGGAGACCGAUAGCGCACAAGUAGAGUGAUCGAAAGAUGAAAAGCACUUUGAAAAGAGAGUUAAAAAGCACGUGAAAUUGUUGAAAGGGAAGCGCUUGCGACCAGACUCGCUCGCGGGGUUCAGCCGGCAUUCGUGCCGGUGUACUUCCCCGCGGGCGGGCCAGCGUCGGUUUGGGCGGUCGGUCAAAGGCCCUCGGAAGGUAACGCCCCUAGGGGCGUCUUAUAGCCGAGGGUGCAAUGCGACCUGCCUAGACCGAGGAACGCGCUUCGGCUCGGACGCUGGCAUAAUGG